rnacentral:rRNA from 1 species
CCUACGGGGAGCAGCAGUGAGGAAUAUUGGUCAAUGGCCGGAAGGCUGAACCAGCCAUGCCGCGUGAAGGUCAGUGCCCUAUGGGCGUUAAACUUCUUUUGUGCGGGAGCAAUAAUGGUCACGUGUGGCCAGACGAGAGUACCGUACGAAUAAGCAUCGGCUAACUCCGUGCCAGCAGCCGCGGUAAUACGGGGGAUGCAAGCGUUAUCCGGAUUUAUUGGGGUUAAAGGGUGCGUAGGCUGUGAGGUAAGUCAGCGGUGAAAUGCCCCCGCUCAACGGGGUGAAGUGCCAUUGAUACUGGCUUGCUGGAAUGCGGAUGCCGUGGGAGGAAUGUGUGGUGUAGCGGUGAAAUGCAUAGAUAUCACACAGAACACCGAUUGCGAAGGCAUCUCACGAAUCCGCGAUUGACGCUGAUGCACGAAAGCGUGGGUAUCAAACAGGAUUAGAUACCCGGGUAGUC